CCUACGGGAGGCAGCAGUGAGGAAUAUUGGUCAAUGGGCGCGAGCCUGAACCAGCCAAGUAGCGUGAAGGAUGACUGCCCUACGGGUUGUAAACUUCUUUUAUAAAGGAAUAAAGUGAGGCACGUGGGCCUGUUUGAAUGUACUUUAUGAAUAAGGAUCGGCUAACUCCGUGCCAGCAGCCGCGGUAAUACGGAGGAUCCGAGCGUUAUCCGGAUUUAUUGGGUUUAAAGGGAGCGUAGAUGGGUUGUUAAGUCAGUUGUGAAAGUUUGCGGCUCAACCGUAAAAUUGCAAUUGAUACUGGCAGUCUUGAGUACAGUUGAGGUAGGCGGAAUUCGUGGUGUAGCGGUGAAAUGCUUAGAUAUCACGAAGAACUCCGAUUGCGAAGGCAGCUUACUAAACUGCCACUGACAUUGAUGCUCGAAAGUGUGGGUAUCAAACAGGAUUAGAUACCCGAGUAGUC
rnacentral:rRNA from 1 species